rnacentral:rRNA from 1 species
AAACUUUCAACAACGGAUCUCUUGGUUCUGGCAUCGAUGAAGAACGCAGCGAAAUGCGAUAAGUAAUGUGAAUUGCAGAAUUCAGUGAAUCAUCGAAUCUUUGAACGCACAUUGCGCCCAUUAGUAUUCUAGUGGGCAUGCCUGUACGAGCGUCAUU